rnacentral:rRNA from 1 species
AGUGAACGCUGGCGGUAGGCCUAACACAUGCAAGUCGAACGGCAGCACAGUAAGAGCUUGCUCUUACGGGUGGCGAGUGGCGGACGGGUGAGGAAUACAUCGGAAUCUACUUUUUCGUGGGGGAUAACGUAGGGAAACUUACGCUAAUACCGCAUACGACCUACGGGUGAAAGCAGGGGAUCUUCGGACCUUGCGCGAUUGAAUGAGCCGAUGUCGGAUUAGCUAGUUGGCGGGGUAAAGGCCCACCAAGGCGACGAUCCGUAGCUGGUCUGAGAGGAUGAUCAGCCACACUGGAACUGAGGCACGGUCCAGGCUCCUAAGGGAGGCAGCAGUGGGGAAUAUUGGACAAUGGGCGCAAGCCUGAUCCAGCCAUACCGGGUGGGUGAAGAAGGCCUUCGGGUUGUAAAGCCCUUUUGUUGGGAAAGAAAAGCAGCAGGUUAAUACCCCGCUGUUCUGACGGUACCCAAAGAAUAAGCACCGGCUAACUUCGUG